AAGGGUGUAGCUCAGUGGUAGAGCGUAUGCUCGACAUGCACAAGGCCCGGAGUUCAAUCCCCAGCAUCUCUA
rnacentral:tRNA from 1 species